UCCAGUUGAGGAAUUUCCGAUUACCAGUAAAUUUCCCGGGAGCUAAUGGGGGAACAUCAAAUCCAACACCCCUUUUCUCUUCCACCUCCGCCUCUUCCUCCGCCCGCUUCACCAUGCGACGACUCCGCUCCGCCGGAACCAUCGUCUCUGGACGAUCCUUCACCUCUUCCGCCCCUCCUUUCGAUCCUAGCCGAAUGAUUGGGAUCAUCCAAAGAAAGGCUAUGAUCAAAGAAUUGGCAGCUGCAUAUCAUGCUGAGUGCCUCACCUAUUGCCAAGAACUCUUGGAACUACAGAAAAAAAACGACGAGGCAAGUAAUUUUCGAAAUACUAGUAACAUAUCGUGCUAUUUUCUUCGUUCUGUGCUCUUUUCAUUACGUAUUCAUUCGGUCUCUAUGUUACUAUGGAUGGGUAUUUAUGGGGAAUGUCGAUAUAGCCAUCAGCGAACAAAACUAUUUCAAGUGCUAUACAGUUAUCAACAUAAACCGGGGAUUUCUGACCAACCCCUUGUAGUCCAUUCCAAUAUCUUCACCCGGAAAGUAAGAAAGGCUAGCAGGCACCGCGAUAUAAUUUCAUUACCAUCUUAAAAGCGUAUGUAUCGAGUGAUGGACUAGUUUCAGAUAGAAACAGAUAGAAAGCUAUGUUAAGCUGUUGGUUCUUCUGAAUAUAGAAACAGAAGUCUUUGGCAAAAUAUUAACACCAAGAGCAUCGGUUGUGGUGGAGACCCUGAAAUUGGUGAGCAAGGUGAAAGAAGCAGCUUCGACAUUGAACACCACUUUCAACCCUUUAAAAUCUGUUUAUGCUUUGGGUUUCGGAUAAUUUUCUGGCCUGCAUUCUCUUGCAAUGAGUGUGAGAACUUGGACUUGGAAGAGGCACAUAGUCUGGUAGGGAAUUGGAUCAGCGGAGGCUGAAUUAUCGACUGUAGCUGAGAUUGCUGACGAGAAAAUCUUGCUCGAACAUCUCCCAGCCAUUCACUCUGCCUCUAGAAGACAAUGCCCUUUACAGACAUAAAACUUCCGGAGGAGCCAAGGAAAGAAGCUCUAAGACGCGUCAAGAAGUCCCGCCAGGUAUCAAUACUUGUAAAAGGGGCAUCGUGAUCUCUUGCAAAAAAACGUGCUUACUUCUUCAAAUACUUGUGUGCUCAACACAACAUCAAAAUUUAGUUUCUCUUCCUAAUUUGUGAUUUAAAUAGAAAAAAAUACUCUUUUUAUUUGUACCAUAUUAUUUUUUGGGUCCGUAAUCAACAAUCUUUAUUUUUUCUGUU